rnacentral:rRNA from 1 species
GUGGGGAAUCUUGCGCAAUGGGCGAAAGCCUGACGCAGCCAUGCCGCGUGAAUGAUGAAGGUCUUAGGAUUGUAAAAUUCUUUCACCGGGGACGAUAAUGACGGUACCCGGAGAAGAAGCCCCGGCUAACUUCGUGCCAGCAGCCGCGGUAAUACGAAGGGGGCUAGCGUUGCUCGGAAUUACUGGGCGUAAAGGGCGCGUAGGCGGACAGUUUAGUCAGAGGUGAAAGCCCAGGGCUCAACCUUGGAAUUGCCUUUGAUACUGGCUGUCUUGAGUUUGGGAGAGGUGAGUGGAACUCCGAGUGUAGAGGUGAAAUUCGUAGAUAUUCGGAAGAACACCUGUGGCGAAGGCGACUCACUGGCCCAAUACUGACGCUGAGGCGCGAAAGCGUGGGGAGCAAACAGGAUUAGAUACCCGUGUAGUCC